rnacentral:rRNA from 1 species
GGCGAACGCUGGCGGCGUGCCUAAUACAUGCAAGUCGAGCGAAUCUUUAGGAGCUUGCUCCUGAAGGUUAGCGGCGGACGGGUGAGAAACACGUGGGCAACCUGCCUGUAAGACUGGGAUAACACCGGGAAACCGGUGCUAAUACCGGAUAAUUCUUUUCCUCACAUGAGGGGAAGCUGAAAGUCGGUUUCGGCUGACACUUACAGAUGGGCCCGCGGCGCAUUAGCUAGUUGGUGAGGUAACGGCUCACCAAGGCGACGAUGCGUAGCCGACCUGAGAGGGUGAUAGGCCACACGGGGACUGAGACACGGCCCAGACUCCUACGGGAGGUAGCAGUAGGGAAUCUUCCGCAAUGGACGAAAGUCUGAUGGAGCAACGCCGCGUGAGUGAUGAAGGCCUUCGGGUCGUAAAACUCUGUUGUUAGGGAAGAACAAGUACCGGAGUAACUGCCGGCACCUUGAUGGUACCUAACCAGAAAGCCACGGCUAACUACGUGCCAGCAGCCGCGGUAACAC